UACGUAGGGGGCAAGCGUUGUCCGGAAUCAUUGGGCGUAAAGAGCGUGUAGGCGGCUCGGUAAGUCCGCUGUGAAAGUCCAGGGCUCAACCCUGGAAUGCCGGUGGAAACUGUCGAGCUAGAGUCCGGAAGAGGCGAGUGGAAUUCCUGGUGUAGCGGUGAAAUGCGCAGAUAUCAGGAGGAACACCACUGGCGAAGGCGGGUCUCUGGGCAGUAACUGACGCUGAGGAGCGAAAGCGUGGGGAGCGAACAGG
rnacentral:rRNA from 1 species